rnacentral:lncRNA from 1 species
AGUCGAUUGUUAAGCGCUACCAAGACAGGGAGACACAGCCAGAAGGAAGACAGAGAGCCAGGGCGCAGGCUCUUCCCAGACUCUGAAUCCACUGGUACCUUGGCCUUGUGACUUCCAGAACCCUGAAGAAUAAAUGAAAUGCAUUUCUGUCGUUUAUGAAUUGCUCAGUGUGUUGGAGAGGGUUUUCUAUAGGAAUGGAGCUGAUAUCUUGCAUAUAUGGUAGAAAGGGGAUUUCUUACAUUGGCUUAUACCAUAGAAGCUGGCUAUUAGCUACUUUUCACUUGCUCAGACAAAACACCAUGGCUUUAGCAGCUUACAAAGGAGUUUGGCUUGGGUGAGGGUCAGGGGACUCUAUAAUGGCAACAGGUAUCGGGAGCAGGGAGCUGAGAGAUCACCCAUGGGUCCCAAACCCAAAGCAGAGAGAGUGAACAGGCAGUAGAUGAAGCCUCAAGCUCUCAAAGGCCACCCCAGUGAUGAUGUACCUCCUCCACCAAGGCCGCAUCCCCAAAUCCCUCAAACAGCAAUGACAACUGGGGACCAAUUUCUCAAAUGUCACGUACUCUGGGG